UACAGAGGGUGCGAGCGUUGUCCGGAAUCACUGGGCGUAAAGGGCGCGUAGGCGGCUUUGUAAGUUAGAGGUGAAAGCCCGGGGCUCAACUCCGGAACUGCCUUUAAGACUGCAUCGCUUGAAUCCGGGAGAGGUGAGUGGAAUUCCGAGUGUAGAGGUGAAAUUCGUAGAUAUUCGGAAGAACACCAGUGGCGAAGGCGGCUCACUGGACCGGUAUUGACGCUGAGGUGCGAAAGCGUGGGGAGCAAACAGG
rnacentral:rRNA from 1 species